GACGAACGCUGGCGGCGUGCUUAACACAUGCAAGUCGAACUGAAAGGCUCCAGCUUGCUGGAGUACUCGAGUGGCGAACGGGUGAGUAACACGUGGGUAAUCUGCCCUGCACUCUGGGAUAAGCCUGGGAAACUGGGUCUAAUACUGGAUAUGACCUUUCUCCUUAUGGGGUUUGGUGGAAAGUUUUUCGGUGUAGGAUGAGCCCGCGGCCUAUCAGCUUGUUGGUGGGGUGAUGGCCUACCAAGGCGACGACGGGUAGCCGGCCUGAGAGGGUGAUCGGCCACAUUGGGACUGAGAUACGGCCCAGACUCCUACGGGAGGCAGCAGUGGGGAAUAUUGCACAAUGGGCGGAAGCCUGAUGCAGCGACGCCGCGUGAGGGAUGACGGCCUUCGGGUUGUAAACCUCUUUCAGCAGGGACGAAGCGUAAGUGACGGUACCUGCAGAAGAAGCACCGGCUAACUACGUG
rnacentral:rRNA from 1 species